UCCCUGGUGGUCCAGUGCUUAGGACUCUGCACUUUCAUUACCAUAGCCCAGGUUCAACCCCUUGUCAGGGAA
rnacentral:tRNA from 1 species